GCCUACGGGAGGCAGCAGUGGGGGAUAUUGCACAAUGGGGGGAACCCUGAUGCAGCGACGCCGCGUGGGUGAAGAAGCGCCUCGGCGCGUAAAGCCCUGUCAGCAGGGAAGAAAAUGACGGUACCUGAAGAAGAAGCCCCGGCUAACUACGUGCCAGCAGCCGCGGUAAUACGUAGGGGGCAAGCGUUAUCCGGAUUUACUGGGUGUAAAGGGAGCGUAGGCGGCAGUGCAAGUCAGAAGUGAAAGCCCGGGGCUCAACUCCGGGACUGCUUUUGAAACUGUACAGCUUGAUUGCCGGAGAGGCA
rnacentral:rRNA from 1 species